UACGGGGGGGGCAAGCGUUGUUCGGAAUUACUGGGCGUAAAGGGCUCGUAGGCGGCCAACUAAGUCAGACGUGAAAUCCCUCGGCUUAACCGGGGAACUGCGUCUGAUACUGGAUGGCUUGAAUCCGGGAGAGGGAUGCAGAAUUCCAGGUGUAGCGGUGAAAUGCGUAGAUAUCUGGAGGAAUACCGGUGGCGAAGGCGGCGUCCUGGACCAACACUGACACUGAGGAGCGAAAGCCAGGGGAGCAAACGGG
rnacentral:rRNA from 1 species